UACGGGGGGGGCAAGCGUUGUUCGGCAUUCCUGGGCGUAAAGGGCUCUUAGGCGGCCAACUAAGUCAGACGUGAAAUCCCCAGGCUCAACCUGGGAACUGCGUCUGAUACUGGAUGGCUUGAAUUCGGGAGAGGGAUGCAGAAUUCCAGGUGUAGCGGUGAAAUGCGUAGAUAUCUGGAGGAAUACCGGUGGCGAAGGCGGCAUCCUGGACCGACAUUGACGCUGAUGAGCGAAAGCUAGGGGAGCAAACGGG
rnacentral:rRNA from 1 species